CUGUUGUGUUUCUGCUGCACAUCUUUCCUCUUUCUGACGCUCCUCCACACACUCCUCCACAUCCAGGCGGAUUCACAGCUCCAGUAAAGCUCACACACAGGUCAGCAGUCAAACAUCAGUUCCAGCAGGUGUUCAGACAGGAGAUCUGUGGCUCUGUGGUAAGAGCGCUGCCCCACGGCUUCAGGGGUUGCUGGUAUCGGUCCCAGCCAGAACUCUGCGAUAUGUGUGAAUGGCGGCAUCAGCGAGCUGCUCUUUUAGCCUGAACACCUUUGACAACAGCGCCACAGAUCAUCACAGGUACACCGUUUUACUGGCGUCAAGUUGAGCUCCAGCAGAUGACAGCUCAGUGACAGACUCAUAAUGUCAGUCAACAGCACAUAUUACAGCCCGACAGUGAAGAAAAGCGACACAGAGAGCAGAAAUGGAGAGUAACGCGACUCACCUCAGUGAAGAUACACACGUGUGUCUGUUGUGUUUCUGCUGCACAUCUUUCCUCUUUCUGACGCUCCUCCACAUCCAGGCGGAUUCACAG